GGGCCCGCACAAGCGGUGGAGUAUGUGGUUUAAUUCGAUGCAACGCGAAGAACCUUACCAGGGUUUGACAUCCUGCGAAUCUCUUGGAAACGAGAGAGUGCCUUCGGGAACGCAGUGACAGGUGGUGCAUGGCUGUCGUCAGCUCGUGUCGUGAGAUGUUGGGUUAAGUCCCGCAACGAGCGCAACCCACGUCUUUAGUUGCCAGCAUUUAGUUGGGCACUCUAGAGAGACCGCCGGUGAUAAACCCGGAGGAAGGCGGGGAUGACGUCAAGUCCUCAUGGCCCUUACGGCCGGGCUACACACGUGCUACAAUGGUAUCUACAGUGAGCUGCAAAGGGGUGACCUGGAGCAAA
rnacentral:rRNA from 1 species